ensembl:lncRNA
AUUUUUUUGUGCAUCUGCUGUUUGUCUCUCAGUGGAAUCUGACCUCUCCUUGCUUUGUGUGCCUUGAAGGGUAAGACUUCUUUGAUGUUCUCUCUCUGUAUUCACUCUUCAGUGCAGUCCCUACUGCUCCUGGAACAGCUGUUCCUCUGCUGCUCAAUCUCAGUUCUUUGGCUUCUUUCACCCUGUCUGUAAACAUGGCUGUAUGUUCCAAAUAAGCUUUCCAACACUCAUUCUCUGCUAGCAUUUAUCAGACCUUAUUAGUUAGUGUUAGUAUUUCCAAGUCCAGUUUGCCAAUGGUCUUUCCUAGCCAAGUGGGCUUCUUUCUAUUCACAUCCUCCUUAAAGCUGCUUUAGGACCACUGGCACUUCACAUCUCCACCGUAUCCUUCAGUGAGCCUGCAUUCCUGCUUUCUGCUUUUACCUCCUGAACCUCCUUGUUCCCUUCAGCACCUCCUCUGGCAGAUCCUCCCACUCCCUCUCCACUGUCUGUUGGCACCCUUCAGAUUUUCACCCUCGGUCCUCCUCCCUUCAUCUUUGUAGUACCUAUUUUGGCUAACUCGUCCUCCCCAUCAGUUUCUGUUACUUAUAACUCUUUUCCUCCUGUUGUGAAUUUGUUGCUUCUUUGAUAUUGCACUGCCAUCCUAAACUCUCUUUUGAUGGGGCUUUCUUAGCUAUCUCAAGUACGCUCUUUUCUCCCGCUUUAAGUUAUUGUACCAUCUUCUUGUCUUGCAGCUCUAAUGUCAGUGUUGAUUUCUCAUUCUCUCCUUAUGUCUCUAUCUACACAGUUAUUAAAUCAGAUUUUAUUCCAUAUGACAUUAGCUAGUCUAUCCGUGGCAGUUUGUCUUCAUUGCUUCAGUACUUGUCCAUUUUUGCUCUCAUUUCCAAGCAUCUUUUUGCUAUUUUCUAAAACAAAUUAGCUAUGCAUAUGUUCACUCUUUUCUAACCAUAUCUCCCUUUAAUCCAAAUCAUUUCACCUGCUUCCUCAGUCUUACUACAUAAUCCCUUUUAAUGCUUUGGAUAACCUCUCUCCCCGAACCUCUUUGAAUUUACCUACAACCUUUUUUUUUUUUUUUUUUUUCCCUGCCAAGGUCCUCAUUUCAUUGUCAUUUUUUUACAGGCUUCCUGCAGUCUAGAGAGGAGGUAAUUCACUUCAUUUUGGCUUUUUAUCCUAUUUCUGUCAUUAGCAAACUAAUUAAUGAUACCUAACACCAGCAUGUGUGCUGGAGAGACUACAGUAAUGAGGUGAGACUUCCAAAAUGAACUUAUGUCCCUCCAAUUCAACACUGAUUUGUCGUUCUCUGGAAGUCUCGUAUCGGUGUUCAUAAUCUGUGAUUGGCAUCCUUUUGUGUCAGCAGCCCAGCAAGGUGGAGAGCAAAAAGGAGAAAGGGAAAGAACUUUUCUGCAUUUCCUAAGAGUGGAUUGAGUUAGAUGAAGGAAUACUCUCAUCCUAUUAUGAAAAAAAUCAAGCACUCCCCUGCAGGAGACAGCUGGGAACACUAAAAUAGUGCAAUGGGAACAUGUAGACAGCAUUUUAGCCCUGAAAUAAGCAGUGUGGCAAGUGUUGUCUUUGUCUUUUUAUGUACUGUUUUAUAGGACUGUCCUUCAUUUUGUCUUACAGCAGUAAUGUUUGUGGCACUUCAACAAAAACGGCUUUUGCAGUUAUUAAAAUGCUGAGGUGUUUACUCUCAAAUUCUUUGUUGCAGCGAUUUGUUUCUCUUGGGCACCAAUCUUUACAGAGAGCGAAAGGGGCAGAACAACCUGUAGCACUGUCUGUCUCAGGAUCUUGGGGCUGCAGCUGCCGAUACGCACAGGGUGACCUUCCUGUUUCCGAAUGCUAUUAAGUCCUAAUGGCAGGAGACCUCUGCAUCCUGAGGGAAGGAUUUAAACCACCGAAACUGCGCCGGCUGGCAGAACAGAAUUUACCAGCCCUUGGAGGAAGGCUAGAUGGAAUCUGAACAACCUCUGGGUCAGCCUGUGGCAGCAGAGGAUCCCUCCUCCCAUGGAAGAGGUGUUCGUACCGCUCAGGUGCCGCAGUGCUGCGCCGGCAGUCCCACCACAGCCCCCAGCAGAGGCACCUGGCAGGGCUGCCUCCAGCCCAGCUCAACAACACGAGCUGAACGAGCCCAAGUGCUUUCUGAAAGCACAGCUGUGCCCAGAUCGGGGCAGUUCCUGGCAUCACUAGGUGCGAUUUUUCCAUGCUCAUAGCCAGCAUAGUUACGCCUCUGAAACUUUGUAGUAGAGACCUGGCUGGAAUCCUUCAGAUCCUCGCUCUCAGCCUUGGCAAAGCAAGCCCUCUAACUCUGUUGGAGCCAAGGCAGCUCAGCUCUUCCCAUUUAACAGUCCAGACCUUGUUCUUUCAGUGACCAGAAAAGUUGUUCCUGCGGGAAUGGCUUAUCUCUCUGUUCACUGCUUCAUAUCCUGCCUAAAACACUACUAUGGGAUGUAUGGCUGCUCUACUGGAUGCCAAUAUCCAUCCUGUGCUUUUGGAAAGGCAAUUCAAAUUCUGUGCACAGGCUUCUGGCAUGCUGAAAGCUUUUGGUUGCCUGUGUCCAAAGGGCUUACUUGUACAUGUGUGCAGUGCUGGGUUAGCUGGCAGAAAAUAUCACAUUUCCAAACCCUCUGCAAGGAAUCAGUGCUGAAGUUCUGCCUCCCUGAUCUUGUAUUGAUGUUUCCUUUGCUAAUGGCAUGUUAGAACACAAGUUUUAUUUACCCAGGAUAAUAUUUCAUUUUGUCCAUGUGCUGAGGUGAUAAAGUACUUAAAUACAUUGGAUGAUCUUUUCCUAAUGCCAUUUGGUGUGUUUAUGUUGUGUUGCCAUUUUUUAGAGAUAAAAAGAGGCUGAAAGAGCACCAGAGCAUGGAAGAGAUACUUAUGAGUGUUGGGCCAUCAUCAGAGGAAAAAAGAGAGACAAAUAUGAAAAAGAAUGAGUGCUGUGUUUAGUACUUUCUUCUCAUCCUUCACACGGGCAUUUCUGGAAGAGUUCUGGUGUGAUACAGUGUGGUUAAGAUAAGCAGUGGCUGCAAAAGUGCAUAAAAAGUUAGAGAUGACCGACUGCGAUUUUUGCCCAGCCACCUCACAGUGGUGCUUCUCUUAGUGGUCCCUCAUUCAUUUGGACAAAGUAUCUUAGCACGAUAGGAUGUGAAACUUGGCCAUGAGGGGAGGUACACAGAUAAUUUGCUGGUUCUUUCAGCACUUGGAGAAGUUGAUUAUCAUCUGAGAAAGAUUCUCAAAUAUUGUUGAGUGCUGGUUCAAAUGCGACAUAUAAAUGAAGUGAGUUGGGGCUGUCUGCUGAUAUCCUCUAAAGCUACACAGCAGUGCUUCUACAAGAAGUAAGUGCCAGGCAAAGAAACCUGACUUACACAAGUGCAACGUUAUGGACGUGAAAACAAUCAAUGUCCAGAAUGAAAGGAGGCCAGAGAAAUAGUGGGACUCCCAUCACCCCUGUUCUAUUUUAAGGAAUGGUUGCUAGAUAAUGCCAUUCAUGGAGAGUGAAGAUGAAUGUUCUCCCAGUGAUACUUUACAAUAUUUUCAGUGGUAUAUUUGCUCAGCUUUGUAAAAUCCUGAUACAAGGGAACAAGUAAUAUGCAUCAAGUUUAUCGAAGCUCAUUAAUUUGAUGAAAUAUAUUGGAAGGAUUGAUUUAUUCACAAUAUUAAACAGCUACUUACGUGAAACUCUGCUUUCUGACUGGUAACGUGAGAACACACAUUGGUUGCUUGCUAUUUUGUUAAUACUUUCACAAAACCACAUCAGCCUCUUUGUUUUUCUGCUGUUUCUCACAGUUCAGCAGACAGCAACAUGCACUUAACAAAAAUAGAGAGGCUUAGAGACAUGUGCAAGAGACAGCUUCAGAAAAACUCUCAAGACAUGCUAAUCAUCUCUAAGAAGAAAAUAUGUUAUUGGCCUAGUAACCAAGGAACAGACAAAGCUUCCAGGAGAUAUGCAGACUUUAAAACAAUCUGCAGUAUAAUUCCACAUAAAUGGCACCAAAACAAUCUCCAAGGGAGUUGCUGCAUCAUUUUGUCACAGCUCAGCACAACACUUGGUCACUAAAUGAUGCAGCUCUUUGAUAUCUCAUUCCCAUUUUGGUUUGCUUAGGCAAAUCCAGAUGAUCUCUGCCCUGUGCAUCAGUGGAUGCUACAAUCAUUAUGGCUGUGCUCAGGCCCCCAUUCCACAGGAAGAACCACUGGAAUUGUUUACUAUGGAGAAAAGGAGGCUGAAGGGAGACCUUAUUGCUCUCUUCCAGUACCUGAAAGGUGAUUGCAGUGGGAGCAGGGCUGGUCUCUUCUCACUGGUGACAGGACGAGGGGAAAUGGCCCCAAGUUGCACCAGGGGAGGUUUAGGUUGGAUAUCAGGAAAAACUUCUCUACUGAAAGGGCUGUUAAGCACAGGAAUAGGCUCCCCAGGGAGGUGGUUGAGUCACCAUCCCUGAAUGUGUUUAAAAACCAUCUGGAUGUGGUGCUCAGAGAUAUGAUUUAGUGGAGGGUUGUUAGAGUUAGGGUAGCAUGAUUAGGCUGUGGUUGGACUUGAUGAUCUUUAAGGUCUUUUCCAACCUGAGCAAUUCUACGGUUCUAUGAUUCUAUGAUUCCUGCUCUGGUCUUGGCCAGCACAGAUCACUAACUCCAACCCCUGGCACCUGCACCAUCCCACCAUUCCUUCUGCAGAUGUGAAAUUCAGCAUGAGCAAAACUCACCCAGGUCUAGGUCAUAACAAGCCCUAGGUUAGAAAAACGUGGUGUUGUCAAUUUUAGUUGGUGUUUUGACUAAAUAUGCAAGGAUUAAUGGUACAAGUGGUUAUUCCAGCAUAUCUGAGAGGCCGUAUCCUCUGGAAAGGUGAACAAACAGCAUGACAGUGGCGGUGGGCUGCCUGGCAUGGGGUGGGUUCUUGUUCAAAUAGCGUCCUCCUCUCACCAAGCAAUAUCUGCCCGUGGUCUAAUAUUGAGUUAAACUGUUCUUACCUUAAAUAAAUGAAAGAUGUCUUAGUGCUUCAUUAUUGCAUAU